rnacentral:rRNA from 1 species
UACGUAGGGGGCAAGCGUUGUCCGGAUUUAUUGGGCGUAAAGAGCGUGUAGGCGGCCUGACAGGUCUGCUGUGAAAACUCGAGGCUCAACCUCGAGAUGUCGGCGGAAACCGUCUGGCUAGAGUCCGGAAGAGGAGAGUGGAAUUCCUGGUGUAGCGGUGAAAUGCGCAGAUAUCAGGAAGAACACCUAUGGCGAAAGCAGCUCUCUGGGACGGUACUGACGCUGAGACGCGAAAGCGUGGGGAGCGAACAGG